GAUGAACGCUGGCGGCGUGCCUAAUACAUGCAAGUCGAACGCGCAGCGAAAGGUGCUUGCACCUUUCAAGCGAGUGGCGAACGGGUGAGUAACACGUGGAUAACCUGCCUCAAGGCUGGGGAUAACACUUGGAAACAGAUGCUAAUACCGAAUAAAACUUAGUAUCGCAUGAUACAAAGUUAAAAGGCGCAACGGCGUCACCUAGAGAUGGAUCCGCGGUGCAUUAGUUAGGUUGUGGGGUAAAGGCUUACCAAGACGAUGAUGCAUAGCCGAGUUGAGAGACUGAUCGGCCACAUUGGGACUGAGACACGGCCCAAACUCCUACGGGAGGCUGCAGUAGGGAAUCUUCCACAAUGGGCGCAAGCCUGAUGGAGCAACGCCGCGUGUGCGAUGAAGGCUUUCGGGUCGUAAAGCACUGUUGUAUGGGAAGAAAUGCUAAAAUAGGGAAUGAUUUUAGUUUGACGGUACCAUACCAGAAAGGGACGGCUAAAUACGUGCCAGCAGCCGCAGUAA
rnacentral:rRNA from 1 species